GGGCGGGUGGUGGAACGGUAGACACGCGGGACUUAAGAUCCCGUGCUCGCAAGAGUGUGAGAGUUCGAAUCUCUCCCCGCCCA
rfam:Candidate division WWE3 bacterium RIFCSPLOWO2_02_FTLL_53_10 rifcsplowo2_02_scaffold_9412, whole genome shotgun sequence.